CAGCCGCCGCGGUAAUACGUAGGUGGCAAGCGUUGUCCGGAAUUAUUGGGCGUAAAGGGCUCGCAGGCGGUUUCUUAAGUCUGAUGUGAAAGCCCCCGGCUCAACCGGGGAUGGUCAUUGGAAACUGGGAAACUUGAGUGCAGAAGAGGAGAGUGGAAUUCCACGUGUAGCGGUGAAAUGCGUAGAGAUGUGGAGGAACACCAGUGGCGAAGGCGACUCUCUGGUCUGUAACUGACGCUGAGGAGCGAAAGCGUGGGGAGCGAACAGGAUUAGAUACCCCUGUAGUCCCUGUCUCUUAUAC
rnacentral:rRNA from 1 species